rnacentral:lncRNA from 1 species
CAGGAACUAUGUUUGGGGAUUUGGUGACAUGGGAUUGAGCCCUAUCUGACUGAGAAAGUCCAGCACGGUUUGCAGGGAGCCUGGGACUUAGAGAAUGGAGACUCCACAGAAGACUUCUGCAUCCUUCAACUUAAUCUUCUGUCCGUGAUCCCAUGGGAAGACAGGGCUGCCGGGAAGCAGUGUGUUAUUUAGGAAGCCCUGGCCUUGUAGCAGAACACCCGGCUUCAGAUAGGCUUUUCCUUCCCACCUGAAAUACACGGUGAGCAUGGACUUCGUGAGGAGGUUUGAGCGGCAGUGUGGAUCCCAGGCCAGCGUAAAGCGACUGCGAGCCCAUCCUGCCUACCACAGCUUCAGCAACAAGUGGAACUUGCCUGUCUACUUCCAGAUAAGGUUCAGAGAAGUGGCAGGAUCCUUAGAAGCAUCCCUCACAGAUGGGCUAGAAGACGCCCCAGCUGGAAGUCCGUAUUGCCUUCUGGCUUCUCACAGAACAUGGAUCAGUCUGAGCAAAUGCUGGUCCGAUGAGAUGUUCCUGCCUUUGUUGGCACAUCGUCUGUGGAGGCUCACGCUGCAGAUUCUGGCCCGAUUCUCUGUGUUUGUCAGUGAGCUUUCUGUCAGGCCCAUCUCUAAUGAAACUGCCAAGGAGACUAAAAAGCCUUUGGCAGGCAGCAAAGACCCUUCGGACG